GGCGGCAGGCUUAACACAUGCAAGUCGAGCGGGCGUAGCAAUACGUCAGCGGCAGACGGGUGAGUAACGCGUGGGAACAUACCUUUUGGUUCGGAACAACACAGGGAAACUUGUGCUAAUACCGGAUAAGCCCUUACGGGGAAAGAUUUAUCGCCGAAAGAUUGGCCCGCGUCUGAUUAGCUAGUUGGUGAGGUAACGGCUCACCAAGGCGACGAUCAGUANCUGGUCUGAGAGGAUGAUCAGCCACAUUGGGACUGAGACACGGCCCAAACUCCUACGGGAGGCAGCAGUGGGGAAUAUUGGACAAUGGGCGCAAGCCUGAUCCAGCCAUGCCGCGUGAGUGAUGAAGGCCCUAGGGUUGUAAAGCUCUUUUGUGCGGGAAGAUAAUGACGGUACCGCAAGAAUAAGCCCCGGCUAACUUCGUGCCAGCAGCCGCGGUAAUACGAAGGGGGCUAGCGUUGCUCGGAAUCACUGGGCGUAAAGGGUGCGUAGGCGGGUCUUUAAGUCAGGGGUGAAAUCCUGGAGCUCAACUCCAGAACUGCCUUUGAUACUGA
rnacentral:rRNA from 1 species